rnacentral:rRNA from 1 species
UUACACAUGCAAGUCGAACGGCAGCACGGGUGCUUGCACCUGGUGGCGAGUGGCGAACGGGUGAGUAAUGUAUCGGAACGUGCCCUAGAGUGGGGGAUAACGUAGCGAAAGUUACGCUAAUACCGCAUACGAUCUACGGAUGAAAGUGGGGGAUCGCAAGACCUCAUGCUCAUGGAGCGGCCGAUAUCUGAUUAGCUAGUUGGUAGGGUAAAAGCCUACCAAGGCGACGAUCAGUAGCUGGUCUGAGAGGACGACCAGCCACACUGGGACUGAGACACGGCCCAGACUCCUACGGGAGGCAGCAGUGGGGAAUUUUGGACAAUGGGGGAAACCCUGAUCCAGCAAUGCCGCGUGUGUGAAGAAGGCCUUCGGGUUGUAAAGCACUUUUGUCAGGAACGAAACGGUGGGGGCUAAUACCCUCCGCUAAUGACGGUACCUGAAGAAUAAGCACCGGCUAACUACGUGCCAGCAGCCGCGGUAAUACGUAGGGUGCAAGCGUUAAUCGGAAUUACUGGGCGUAAAGCGUGCGCAGGCGGUUGUGCAAGACAGAUGUGAAAUCCCCGGGCUUAACCUGGGAAUUGCAUUUGUGACUGCACGGCUAGAGUGUGUCAGAGGGGGGUAGAAUUCCACGUGUAGCAGUGAAAUGCGUAGAUAUGUGGAGGAAUACCGAUGGCGAAGGCAGCCCCCUGGGAUAACACUGACGCUCAUGCACGAAAGCGUGGGGAGCAAACAGGAUUAGAUACCCUGGUAGUCCACGCCCUAAACGAUGUCAACUAGUUGUUGGGGAUUCAUUUCCUUAGUAACGUAGCUAACGCGUGAAGUUGACCGCCUGGGGAGUACGGUCGCAAGAUUAAAACUCAAAGGAAUUGACGG